UACGUAGGGGGCUAGCGUUGUUCGGAAUUACUGGGCGUAAAGCGCACGUAGGCGGCUUUGUAAGUUAGAGGUGAAAGCCCAGGGCUUAACCCUGGAAUUGCCUUUAAGACUGCAUCGCUAGAAUUGUGGAGAGGUGAGUGGAAUUCCGAGUGUAGAGGUGAAAUUCGUAGAUAUUCGGAAGAACACCAGUGGCGAAGGCGACUCACUGGACACAUAUUGACGCUGAGGUGCGAAAGCGUGGGGAG
rnacentral:rRNA from 1 species